CUUAAAGUCAUUGAACAUUUUCUCUUCCCCUGUUGAUUUAUCCAGGAGUGCAGUUUCAAUGAUGCCUUGCUGGCAGAUGCAGGGAGGAUGUUCCGGAUGGUGGGUGUGUCCAGAACAAGGGGUCACAGUCUGAGGAUUCGGGGUAGACCAUUUAGGACAGAGAUGAGGAGACAUUUCUUCGCCCAAAGAGUGAUACUGCCAAACCUCCUGAACAUGCCUCGAUUUAUUUGCCCAUCCUGUAGCAGCAAUUGGAUCUUUGUGUUACUAAAAUAGCAUCUGCCACUGAAUCUCAAGCAUUUACCAAAUUAUAAAACACGCGUGUAAACAAA